UCAGAAGAAUUUGCAGCAAUGAAAUAGUAUUUGAUUGGCAUUUAGAGAAUACUAAUUCUCAGCUUCCUGUCAUCCUCAUGAGUGGAAGAACAAGGCAGCAAGAACACUUCGGCAAAACAACAAAUGAAUUA